AACGUAGGAGACAAACGUUAUCCGGAGUUAUUGGGCGUAAAGAGCUCGUAGGUGGUUCGCUAAGUCGGAUGUGAAAACUCGGGGCUCAACCCCGAGACGCCAUCCGAUACUGGCGUGACUUGAGUCUGGUAGGGGAGAUCGGAAUUCCCGGUGUAGAGGUGAAAUUCGUAGAUAUCGGGAGGAACACCAGUGGCGAAGGCGGCGACCUGGGCCAAUAUUGACGCUGAGGUGCGAAAGCGUGGGGGAGCAAACAGGG
rnacentral:rRNA from 1 species